AUGAACGCUAGCGACAGGCUAACACAUGCAAGUCGAGGGGUAACAGGGUAGCAAUACCGCUGACGACCGGCGCACGGGUGAGUAACGCGUAUGCAACCUGCCUAUAACUGGGGAAUAGCUCCCUGAAAGGGGAAUUAACACCGCAUAACACUAUUGAUUCGCAUGGAUUGGUAGUUAAAUGUAGCGAUACAGGUUAUAGAUGGGCAUGCGUGACAUUAGCUAGUUGGUGAGGUAACGGCUCACCAAGGCUACGAUGUCUAGGGGUUCUGAGAGGAAGGUCCCCCCACACUGGUACUGAGACACGGACCAGACUCCUACGGGAGGCAGCAGUGAGGAAUAUUGGUCAAUGGGCGCAAGCCUGAACCAGCCAUGUCGCGUGCAGGAAGAACCUGCCCUAUGGGUUGUAAACUGCUUUUAUAGUAGAAGAAACACAUCUACGCGUAGAUGUCUGCCAGUAUACUAUGAAUAAGCAUCGGCUAACUCCGUGCCAGCCGCGGC
rnacentral:rRNA from 1 species